UAGCAACGGCAAAACAAGGUCACGUUCUAACCAGCCCGGACGGGUGGGGCGCCGGGCUCCGACCCGAGCCGCUGCUCCCCCAACCCUUCCUGCCACAGCCCGUUAGUUUAGGGUAGACCCCGCCUUGCGCCGCCUCGGCCCCUGUCACCCUGGGCCAAGGGCGUGCAAGGGACGCAGGAUCAGGGAUUCCAGAGGACACCGGACGGGCGGGCGUCCUAGCUAACGGGUGACCAGGAGGUUCCUGGACACCAUUUCAGACCUCCCAGGAAAAGAGUCUUCAGAAGGGCCAGCAAUCUACAUUUCCAACAUGUAUUCCAGGGUGUGUUGGUCUCAAGAAAGAGCUGCAGCAAGAAAUGCUCUCAACAGAAAUCUUCCAUAAGAGAAGAGGGAUCUGGACUGGUGAUCUGGACUUAGUUUGGACAAAGAUAUGAAGAAGGCCUAGUUCUAUUACCUUUGUAGGCAAAUGCAAAAGUCCUUUAUUGCUCCGUCAUGGUGAAUCUUCUGUCAAAAGAUUCUUUCUUCCUGUCAGAAUUGCUACAGUCUCUGAAGAGAUCUUUAUCAAUAGUGUAGUACAAUAGUAAGGC